CUUGAUUUAACAUAAUACCAAGGAAAAAGGCAUUGAAAAGGGUAGGAAAGACAAGUCUUGCAUUGCCUACACCAGUCCUCUCCCAUCUACCCUGGCAGUGUCCUGAAGAGAGACAAUCUGUGUGCUUGGGGGAGAGAGCCACAUGAGUGAGGAAUUUUGCAUUGGAACUCGGUACUUCUGUGUCACAGUGAAGCACAACACGGCAGAAUUCUGCUGGUGCCACAGAGGGAGCAUGUAGACCAGCCCUGGGCUAGAGGGGAAUGCCCUGCCCCAGUGGGAGAAAACCAAGUCCCUGCCAGUUUCAUCACUGACUGACUAAAGUGGCCUGGGGCCCAGAAUAAAUCUGAGAGGCAGUCAGGCCAUAGGAUUACAGUUAUUGGGCAAGCCCUGGUCCCAGCUGCACUGGUCUCAGGGGCAAUGGACUUGGGUUGUGCAUGACCCAUUGUAACACCAGCCGUGGCAACCAAGGAGUGUCUAUCUCAUCCCUCCCCCUACUCCAUCCAGUACAGCUCAGGAGGAGACUCUUCACUUGGAGAAUGGACAGGGAAGAGUACAAAAACAUUGUCGUGCAACUUGGUUUCCAGCUCAGCUACAGUAAAAUAAAGCACUAGGCAGAUUUCUGAAGGCCCUAAUUCCAGGUCUGAGCUCCUGAAUGACAUUUUUAGACCCACACUGGGACAGAAGGGAAUCUGCUAUCCUGAAGGGAAGGAUCCAUUUCUGGCUGGAUUCACCAUCUACUGACAAAAGAGCCCCUGGUCGUGGAAUAAACAUCGGCAGUAGCCAGGCCCCGCUGUGUAAUUACGUCUGGAAUUGGUGGGUUCUUGGUCUCACCGACUUCAAGAAUGAAGCCGUGGAUCCUCGUGCUGACAGAAUCAAGUUUUAAAGAUCCAGUUAAAUGCCUGGCUAUCAACUUGCCAAGAGCUGAUCCAGAUGGAAGCCAUCAUCCUAAGAGUCAGACAACUCAUUAACUCUAAAGGGACUG
rnacentral:lncRNA from 1 species